UUGUUUUGUUUUUUUUGUUUUUUUUUAAACACCUGCUGAAAUACUUCCAUUGGAAUUUUACGUCCUUUGGUCUUCUCAUCCCUUGUAACUUUUCAGGUGCACUGGAUUAUUUCCUAGGGCCCCCUGUAUGCAGUUCAUUCCACUUUCAUCAUAACCUUUGUUCCCCGUUUUCUCUGUAAAUAUGCAUACGAUUUGGUCACUGUAGUUUUCUCUCUGGACUAGGUAGCAUGAGAACAAGCUGGUUAUUAUUCAGGACCUUAUGUCAGACUACGCCUAGAGGUGCUCUAUUAAUAUCUGUUGAGUGAUUGAGCGCUUAGCUGCCUUAGAGACUUUAUUCCUUUCCUUCAUCUCUGUGAACUGUUAUGGUUAUUAAAAGUUACAAGAAGUUUGAUGAAGAGGUUGUCUUUUCAGCUCAAAAACAAUGAAGAUGACAGACCCAUCAUUUUAAUGACCAGUUGAGAUCUUACUAACAUGCACAUUCAGGAAUAUGAGCCUGAAGCCUUCUUGAUGUUUUUAACCAGAACUACAAUUUCUGCAUGUGAAGCAGAAAGACUCUUAACCUGGGAGUCAGGGAGCAUGUCUGGAUCCUGAGUCUAUCAUUUACUGACUCUGAGGAAGCCACUGAACCACUCUGAGCCACCUAACGCAUAGAAGUGACUGUCCUGCUUGCUUGUUGGGGUGAUUCUGUGGGAAUCAGAUGAGAUAAGGCGCCUGGAAUGUCAUGGGAAACUGGCAGUCCUCUGUCUCCUCCUGUUCCCAUUCUCCCACACUUCUGUCAACUCUCCUCCCGCUUUACUGUGCUCUGGAACCCAUCUGUCCUCUCUGUCUUCUGGGCCAGCGCUGCCCAGGAGUGGGCAUUCUUUUCCUGGCUUAUCAGGCUCCUAUCUCCCCGAUUCUAAGCUACUUGUCCCCUGGACCUACCCAGACUCUCUCCAGAAUGUGGUUUCUUCUCUGGUUAACACUCUUCAGUCCCCUCACCAUGUUAUUGUUUUUAGGUUAAAGUCGAUUUCCUUAACAUGAUGUAUAUGAGCUCUUCAUGAAAGAACGCCUCCAUAUUCUCCUCUUCAGCUUCAGUUCCCACUAGCCACUCUGCUUUCCAUGUUUACCACUUUUUUUGAGAGAGACCGACAGAGAGAGAGAGUGGGGGAGAGGCAGAGAGAGUGGGGGAGAGGCAGAGAGAGAGAGGGAGAGAGAGAAUCCCAAGCAGGCUCUGUGUUGUCAGCACACAGCCUGACUUGGGGCUCGAACUGUGAGAUCAUGACCUGAGCUGAAACCAAGAGUCAGACGCUUAACCAACCGAGCCACCCCGGCACCCCCAUAUUUCCCACUUUUGUUCGUCUUUCUCUGCAUGUGCCAGGAUUGUCUGCUUAGGAGGAAUCUCUGUUUCUCCCCUGGUACAUCAUCCUAACAUUUCGAUUGGACCAACAGGACCCUGUUCAGACAUUCCCUCCUGUAGAAGUCCUCCAUGAGGACCUUCCAAAGCUGGUUUUAACUGCUCUGUGUGGCCUGCCAUGUUGUCCUACAGCAGUUUUCUCGUGCUGGGCAGUAAGGCAGGGAAUGUGCGUUCUUCCUUGCCCUCGAUGCCAAGAAUCACAUAAAUGUUGGCUGGUUGAAUCAAUUCAUUAAUACUGAAACGUUUGAAAAAUGUGAGGGGAAAAUUCUGGCGCAUCAUCUGUCUUAGUAUUAGAAACAAAAUAGGAAACAUUCCCCUGCCCAUGUAUAAAGGUAUGAACUGUUCACAUCUGGGGUACUGUGCCUCAUUCCAGCUGUUCUCUAUAAAUAAUUUCUCAGGUGUUGAAUGCACAAAAAGUUUCAGUUAAGAUGAUGUGCCUCGGAAGGAGAAGCAGCUAUGCCAAGAAAUCCUAAAAUAAUUGGGAUUUACCCAGGAAAACUGUGUUUGGGAUGCAGCGCCACAAUAUUCUGCAAGAGGAAGUGACGUGGAUGUUUUCGACCAGAGCUAGGCCUUCAGGACGAGGGAUAGAGGAUUCAUCGCCUGGAAGAGUGGUACAAACUGAAAAUAUUAACCCAUUCGAGAAAAGCACUCAGAAACAGCGAUUGAGACAGAACUGAUUAUCAAGGUGAAAUGGUCUGAGUCUUUUGGCAUGGAGGCAUCCAAAUAAUGGAAAACUCCACUCUGCCGAUGCUGACGGGCAAAAUUUUGCGCCCCCCCCCCCCCCCCCCCCAGGACUUUCAUCCCCUGGUGCCAUGCCUGUCAAUGUGUUCCACUGCAUGGCAAAAAGAGACUUUGCAGAUGCAGUUAAGGUUACCACUCAGUGACCUUAACGGGAGAAUCGCCUGGAUUAUCCAGGUGGGCCCAUGUAAUCAUCGGAGCCUUUAAGAACAGAGCUUUCUCCCAGCUGCUGGUGAAGGCGAGGUCAGGGGGAGUCUAAGCUUGGGAAGGAGUCCGAGUGUUGCUGGCUUGAAGAUGAAGGGAGCCACUAGGAAGCCGUGAGAAGGAACUGAAUUUUGCCAACAACCUGAAUGAGCUGUCAAGCAGGUAUUCUUCCACGGUGUCCAAAUAAGAGCCUAGGCCAGUCAACACCUUGACUUAGGCCUUGUGAAAUACAUAUAUUUUUAAGUUUAUUUAUUUUUGAGAGAGAGAAAGAGAGAGAGAGCGAGCAUGUGCGCACAGGGAAGGGGCAGAGAGAGAAUCCCAAGCAGGCUCCACGCUGUUAGCAUGGGGCCCAAUGCAGUGCUCGAUCUCACGAACCCGUGAGAUCAUGACCUGAGCCAACAUCAAGAGACACUUAACCGACUGAGCCACCCAGGUGCCUCUAGGCCUUGUGAAAUCUUAAACAAAGGACACUGUGAGAUAAUAAAAGGGUAUUGUGUUAAGGUGCCAAAGUCAUGGUAAUUUGUUACAAUAGCUGUAGAAAACUACCACACCAACAAAACAAAAAAUGGUGCCGGAGCACGGGAGCUUUUUGGUGUGGGGACCUUUCUGUCAGGAAGACUUGAUUUCCAGUGGGCCUUGGUAUUGAAUGGACCAAGUUUGAAAACACUAGAAUUGAAUGUUCUUUCUGACAGCUGUAAAGUGUCUUUAUUUCUGGGUGAUCCAAGGUCUUUCCCUAACAUUGGAGCAUCAUAGUUGAUUCAAGGUAUGCCCCUGAGUGGGUCUCCAACUUCUAAGGCCUCCAGUGGAAAAAUCAAGACUGAUCAUACGUUAUUAUAUGCUGAAUUUGUACAGGAGUAGUUAGCAAUAAUCAGAGGAAUAAAGAUUGUUUUUGGUAGUAGAAUAUCAAAAGCUCAUUGUCAGUUUUUCCAAGUGUUGUGUAAAAGCAGGACAUCAGAGGUGUUUACUUCUUUUUAGUACUGUUUUUCUAAUAUUGCCUUUAUGAGAGCCAUUCUGUUUGUCGAGGCCCCCUUCAAAGCCUUGAAAUAUACUCUUUUUUUGUUAAUAAAAAUGGAGGAGUUGAUUCAAUGUCAUUUAAGAAAUACUGUACUCUUACUGGAAUUCUAAUUUUUUUAAAAUGUUUAUUUUUGAGAGAGAGAGAGAGAGCGUAAUCAGGGAAGGAGAUGAGAGGGGGAGACACAGAAUCCGAAGCAGGUCCAGGCUCUGAGCUGUUAGAGCAGAGCUCGAUGUGGGGCUCGAACUUGUGAACCUCGGGAUCAUGACCUGAACUGAAGUUGGACACUCAACCCACUGAGCCACCCAGGCGCCCCUCUUGUUGCAAUUCUCAAAGCCAUUUAUUUCGGUUGUGAAAUGCAGGACCGGCAAAAGUUAAGUCUGGGCUGUGCUUUGCCAAUGUGGUGAAUUUAUUUGUAUGAAAUAUUAAAACAGGCGACUUGGUAUGAGUUGGCUUGAAACAUUAGAACAGUUGAGUCUGCACGGGAUGAUGAUAGAGUCAGAAAUUAACAGAGCUAAUAACCCUACUUAAUCACUCACCUUUGUAGGAAUUAAGUAAUGACUGCCUGCAUCUUUCUAGAGGAAAAAUCAUGAAUUAUACAUUUAUUCCUCUCAAACAUAAAAUAACAAGCUCAUCAAUAAUUCUUUUAGUGACUAGUCAAAGAAUGAAAGUUAAAAAGACUGGCUACUGACUUGAUGGGCCACCGCUGCCGAUGAAGUUUACAAAGUUGACAGUGUUUUGUUCUGUUUUGUUUUUUUCUUGCUUGCUUUAGUUAUUUUAUAGGUGUAACAAAUGUGAGCUGUAAUCCUUAAUUUGGGAAUGAGUUUUAUUUGAUCAGGUGCAUUAACUUCGUCGUGCAGAGAUUGUCUACAUUUUCUUUUCUAAGCCAGUCUCUCUUUGGCAUCUUAGCAUAUUUGGUUUUUUUUCCGAAAGAAACAUGUACUUAGUCUGAGAGCAAAUUCAUUAUACGGUAGUGUUGGAAGGCCAGGCUAACACUACUAGCAAAUUGUCCACUAAACAGCUACUGAAUUGUCACCGUGCACUUCCUUUCUUCCUUGAUAUUAAACUUGGCACAAUCGUUAACCUGGAUCUGCUUCGCUUUUUUUUCUUUUCUUUCUUUUUCUAAAUAAUUUCACAUCUCUUCCUGCUGAGUGGAAACCUUUGGCUCUUGCUGUUCUACUGUCCUCCUUUACUUCUCUUAUUACUCCAGUUGUUCUUGGAGUGUUAGGAAUAUAUUUUUAGAAAGGAAAUAGAAACAAAAUCUUUAGGCUUAUCAUGUAAUCAUGUGAAAUUAUAUUGACUUACAAAGCCUUGUAAUUAAUUAUGCCAGAUAACUUGCUUUCUCCCCAUAAUCCUGUCAUCUGAGCCUGAGAGGUGCAAUUUGCCACUUCCCCGGUAAAUUACAAAAUGCGAAUCGGAAAAUGGCCCGCGUACGGCAGUGGAAGAAUUAUGGGAGGAAGAAAUAAUAAGAAGGAGCUGGCCUCUCAUUCACAGGUUCUUGUCUGGGGCUUUCUAAUCACUGAUGACUUUGGCUCCACCUGUGGAACUAUGCGGCCUGUGGGGCAAGUCACUUAACUUCCCUGGGUCUCUGACCUUUCGUCUCUAAAAUGCAAAUGGUAAUUCCCUAACUGAUAAGAUUUUCAUGAACUUUUAAGUGGGAUAAUGGAUGUAAGGCUUUGCCCGGAAGCUUGGCUAAACCCACUAACUGUUAACUGGCAUUUUUCUUUCUGCCCUGUGUGCGUGCUGAACGCUCACAGCCUCUGCCCGUCUCACUGGUAUUUGUCCCACCGUAGUGCCAAACAGGAUCUUUUCAUUUUGGGUUUUUGGUUUCCUAAGUGGAUUGGUAAGGGUCCUAAUAGGUAGGCACUUCUUUCUACUUUUCAUAUGUAAAUGCCCUCAGCAAAUGUCUGGGGGCUGGUAAUCCUGCUGCACUCGGACUUGACCAUUUAACUGGAGCUCUAAAUUCAGCUGCUCUUCGCGGAUGUAAAGGAGGGGAUUUGUUUUCAUGGUGUCACAAGCCUCAUAAGCUUCAUAAACUUCUUUUGUCACUUCAGAUUUAAAAAAGACAUCCCCCCCCCCCCCCCACUUUCUCUUUCCCUGCUGCAGUUGCACACUGCUGUUUGUGAGUAAAGUUGGAGCAGUCAUCUAAAUGUCUACAUGGUUUUUGGUGUUUCAUGGUGUUCCCUCUGUACUUGACUUCAGUUUCCAGAAUAUGUAACUACGAAAGAAAUCCUUAUCUGCACAAACUCCGGUGCCGUCUCACAGAGCUGGUCUUGACCUCCUAUGUCAAUAGGAUAAAAAAGGAGGAGACAGAGGAGGGGAGACCGAGAUUUGUGUACUGCUUAUAUAGCUGGCUCAAUUUGCUUUUCCUGCUUAAACACGACAAAGCAAAGACAAGCUAAAGUUACACACGUGACAGGGUGCAUUACCUUUUAAAGCGUAUCUCUGAGUGCCAAGAGGCAGGAUAGAUGCCGGGGGGAUUUCAAAAAGGUAUCAAGAAAGACAAACUUCUUAUGGAGAACUAUCAAGAUGGAUUUUAUUCAACUUCAGACCAUACGUCGGGUAUGUUCAAAUUCACUAGUGUUACAGAUGAAAAGUAGAAAGACAAGAGGAGAUUUAAAUACAAACGCAGAUUCUUUAGAAGGUAGAUGCAGAUACAGAGAAAGUUAAAUUUUGAAACUGAUGGGAUGUAGCCAAAACUGCAGGCAGAGGAAAAUUAGUAAACCUACAUGUUUUUAUUUUUAGACAAA